rnacentral:tRNA from 1 species
AUCUGGUUUUUGGUUGGUAGAGCGCUCCACUUGUAAUGGAGAGGUCCCGGGUUCGAUACCCGGACCAGGCG